AAACCAACUGGGAUUACCUUAGUAACGGCGAGUGAAGCGGUAAAAGCUCAAAUUUGAAAUCUGGUACUUUCAGUGCCCGAGUUGUAAUUUGUAGAAUUUGUCUUUGAUUAGGUCCUUGUCUAUGUUCCUUGGAACAGGACGUCAUAGAGGGUGAGAAUCCCGUUUGGCGAGGAUACCUUUUCUCUGUAAGACUUUUUCGAAGAGUCGAGUUGUUUGGGAAUGCAGCUCAAAGUGGGUGGUAAAUUCCAUCUAAAGCUAAAUAUUGGCGAGAGACCGAUAGCGAACAAGUACAGUGAUGGAAAGAUGAAAAGAACUUUGAAAAGAGAGUGAAAAAGUACGUGAAAUUGUUGAAAGGGAAGGGCAUUUGAUCAGACAUGGUGUUUUGCGCCCUUUGCUCCUUGUGGGCGGAGGAUACGCAGCUCACUGGGCCAACAUCAGUUUUGGGAGCAGGAUAAAUCUGUAGGAACGUAGCUUUCUUCGGGAAUGUUAUAGCCUAUGGGAAUACUGCUACCUGGGA
rnacentral:rRNA from 1 species